GGCAAAGUGGCUGAAUGAUUAGGUGAUAGAUUGUAAAUCUAUUUAUGGUAUAUAAACCCUUUGCCA
rnacentral:tRNA from 1 species